UAAAGAUUGUAUGAUGAAAUCAUUAUGUGA
rnacentral:piRNA from 1 species